rnacentral:piRNA from 1 species
UNGGUUGCUGAGAGCAACAGGGACCUCUGC